ensembl:lncRNA
GCACAGCACCUACAGGCUGAUGCUAAAUUAGUGCUGUGAUAUUUUAUCAUCACCUCCCACUCCUGCUUCCCCUUCUUGUUACUCCCUUCUUUCUCCAGAGGUAAUGUAUCACUGCCAGGUAAUUGAUUCCAAGCUUUUGAGUCAUCCCUCUGUUUUAUAUAUUUCACACAAGUAAGAAGCACUUCCCUAACCCAAGCUUGUGAACUGUCCCUCGCCUCUGCAAAGAUUUAUGAGUAUUUAUAACAAGUCUGAUCCAUGAAGCUGCUGAACACUCAAAGUCUGUGGUCUUUGCAUGAUUAGCUCAAAUGCAGUUACCAGAUGAGGGCUGCCCUCUGAUACCACUGCACGCGCUGAACAGUAACCAGAAUAAAAGGGAUUAUUUACAGAGUGAGGCUUUACAAUGAAAGCAAUAGGCUCAUUUCUUGCUGAUCUUUUUAAACUGUAAUGACUCUAAUACCCUUGUUGCAAUAGACUGGUUUAUGUUUGUUUAAAGUGUGGAUUUGAUCUCUAGGUAAAUACAAACAUAUCUGUAUGUAAUGAUAUUUUCUUAAGAUCUGUUAAAUCAGAGCACUUCUGCAACUAUCCAAGAGGAGGUUCCAAUAAUGCUAAACCUCGUAUGACAAUAUUGCAUGCAACUACACUAACAAAUAACUGUACUGAAAUAUUAAUACAAAGCAUGUGGUGCUGCUACCUGAGUAUAUGUUUAGAGAAUGCAUGCAGAGGGCGCACACAUAGGGUAUUUUUAAUCUAUUAAUCAAUAUCUUCUGUGGGAUGUUUUAAAAGCGCUUUGCAUCUGCCAAAUCCAAGACUGAGUUCAGGUUAUUUGGAACAGUUCAAACAAAACACAGAGCACUUUUUAAACCUCAACCGCAGAAAUCACCUGUCCGUCAGGUGGGCAGGAGGAUCUCAGCAGCACCAACAGCUCAGCCAGGUGAUCCUACCAACAUUUGUAGAGCACAGGCCUCCAUGUCAGGAAUAAUAACCAAUGAAUUACCGGCAGCCAGGGGCCUAAAUCAUUGUCUGUCAGGGCCAGUGAGAAUAGGGACUGUCACACAGAUAGGCUGUAGGUCUCUCUUACCUGAAAAUGCGUCUGCAAAAUGAGACAUAUGAGUUACUUCACAUAAUAACCUGCACAUUUAAAGAGAUUUCUGCUCAGCAGUGUUGUCAAUUUUGCAGUCUGUACAGUGAAUCUAUGUUGCAAGUGCUUACAAUACUGAGCAUUUACAGAUAGAAGCGGCAGGAAAAUGCACUGCACGUUGUGAAAAUAACUGGUGGUUCAGGCCAUAUGCAGUACAGCAUUAUCUAUUAUUCAAAUCUCAGCAUAGACUAGAAAUCAGAUUACUUCAUUAUAGUUCUAUUUCUGGACUGCUAAAAUAUAUCAGAGACAAGAGUACCAUGCAUGAAAUGACCACUGAUGCUUUGAACAAACCUAAGCAAAAGGAAAAAACGAGCAUGCCACAGAACCCACAGAAGGUGUCAGAGCCUCAGCCCACAAGCAAUAGGUACUAUGCACGGGAGAGAGACGGAAGGAAUACUAAGCUGUAACUUUACAAAUGCUUGCACAUGGUGACAGCAAGCUUGCAUGGUCAAGACUUAAUGUGCUUUGAUCUUUUUUUUUCCCCCUUCCACAUUUACAGACUGUCACUGACAUUGGCUAGAACUUUAAUUUAAACAGCCUUUUUAAUAUCAGCAAUUAUUGUAAAUUCAGAAAAAUCAAAACAUUUAUAAAUAUAUUUUAUAUAUCAGAGUAUAACAUAUUUAAAGUAAAAUACAACUAUAUAGUUUUGAAAGGCAUUCUGUGCAGCUGCUUCUAUAUGCUGUAAACUGUUUGAAAACCUUUGCAAUCUUGCAUUCGUUUCUUUGGCUUUAUUUUUAAGCCAACAUACAAGACAGAAAAGACUGUAGGGUUGGCAGAUACUUUCACCUGGGCUAUCUGAAGAGCCCUGCUGCUGUGCAGACUUGCGUGGUUCACUUCACAUUUCCUGUUGGUGGGCAAGUGUAUGUGCAAGGCACCGCAGCGAGGUGGAUGCGGAGGUGGGAGUUCAGCCCUACUCCUGAAUGUUUACAUUCCAUUACAAAGGUCCAUACAGACUCAAACAGAGUCUGAGUCUGCAAGAACGUAUGGAGUUUUAAAAAGAAAAUGUUUCUUAUGACAAAUAACUCACCUCUCUAUUCCCAGUGCAUUAUCAGCUGUGUACAAUAUUAAACACAGAACUGUAGUUUACUGAUGCUUUAAUUUGUUGUUCCCUUGCACUGCUCUUUAAAAUAGUUGACUUUUGAAGAAAUAUAUUAUUAUGUGCUUAUUGGAUGUGUUAAAUUUAUUAAGCUCAUAAUUACUAUUUGCAGAGCACCACUUAAUGUAGUAUUUUUGUACUGUAAUGGAAGCAUGCCUUCCUUGGGUUCUUUUCCACAUAAUAAAUUGUAUUUAUUUAUCUGUAUUUAUAUCUGUGCAAUUUUUAAAUAUGUUUUAAAAAAUAAAACUUUGUCUGUGGCUUC